AGGUCAAACAAAAUGCCUGCUGUCACCCAAAGAGUUCAUUAAACGUUUUCUGCUGUGAACUAUCCCUCAUGCCGGGGACACUCAGGCCAUGGACAGGAAGACAGCACACCUUCUGUUCCUGAUGGUCAUAAGAACCACCUCCUUCCUCUUGUUGUGAAUGGCCAGUGGAAUAACUCCAGGAGGAUCGAGGACAAGCUAUUGGGCCAGGUGGAGAGGAG